GACCCUUUCCAAAAUCUCCAUGUCUUUCUUGUACUGAGGGCUCCACACCUGGACACAGUACAACAGAUGGGGCCACACAAGAGCAGAUGAGAGAGACUUGCAGAGGAGCAAAACACAGCAGUUGUGGUUCAGCAGGUCAUUUGUUGUCAGGUCAGAAGCCUGGAAAUCACAGACUGCAGCAGCACACUGCUUUAACCUUAAGCACAGAUGUGCUGCCUUAAUUGCAGGUGCUGUUUAAGUGCAGAGCCAAGUCUGUUGUAAGUUACUCUUUUUCUCUGCUGGAAUUAAUGAACAGAUCCUGCAUCAUUGUUGACUGAGCAAAUCAGCAGUCAGUUAAGUGCAUCCUGUCAGCAGAAGGUAAUUUUAAUGCUAGGCCAGUGGUCUCUCUAAUUAAAAGAAGCAUUUAUUAUUUGUGUUUGGGAUUGUUUCCAAGAAGGAAAACAGAGUUCGGAAAGGCUUUCAGAGCUGAUUGCCUUCUGUGACCUGGUCUGUGCUUGAGGCUGAUAUGAGGAGGAGGAGAGAGCAGAAUGAAGGAUAAGGAGGAGCAGAAAGUGUUGAAAAGCUCAAAUUAGUCUCUUCAGUGGAAGAGAAACAAAUCAAUGCCAAGAAUUAGAGAAAGAGCAGACAAGGAGAGAACAGAAAGAGGAGCAGAACAAAACCAAAGAAGACAGGCAAGACAUGACAGAUUGGGAGGGAGGGUGGUAAAAGACAGCUGAGUGACAGGUAGGGUACCAAUAUAGACAUGAAGACACCAUCACGGGGGUCUGUAUGGAGGCUAGAGAAGCACCUGGCGAUGGUGACAUUGAUGUGGCUGUUGCUGUUUGCAGUGGAGAUGGGGGAGGUGGUCCCUGGAGGUCUCCUUCAGCGCUGCUGGCAGUCAAGCAUCCCAUAGCCCUGUUGUCAGCCUCUAUCACACUGCAGCAGUCAGACCAAAGGGAUCACAAGUGGGCAUCAUCUCCUGCUUUGUUCCUUGCUGGUAGUUACCCAGGUGAAGGCCAGGCCUGGCCAGCAAAGCAGCUCGUUGCACUGUGUCUAUAGAGAGAGAAAAAAAAUGCAGCUCAGGACACCCGUAGAAAUUAGAGGAAGAUCUUUCCUACAGAUCACUUCAAGUGCUGAUAUCAUCAUCACUUUGGGCAUGAUAUCGUCGAGUGCAUUGCCUUAUGCCACCAAGAUAAGACCAUGUUCAGGCAGCACAAGGUCUGUAGGCAGACCUCCUCAGGUGAUCUGGCAUUAGUGGAAAAUUAGGAGAGUUUUUCAGCAUCUUAGUGCUUGUGAAUAGGAACAGCAGGCUUCAAAGCUAAGUAGGAGUUGAGAAGAGCUGUUAAGUGCUCGAUUAGUUGUGUGUCCCUUACGGCUUUUAUGUGUGGACAGAUAGCAGUCACUGUAUUCAUGAGUCAAGAUGAGUUUCUAUAGUUUUCCACUGCUGCAGAAAAACCCUCAGGGAUCCUCCCAGGGUUCCCUGGUGUGUCCAUCUGCUGUUCAAUAAAAGCUUAAGUAAAUUCCUCAUUAUCGUUCCACUCCUGGGGAGUUUCUUGCCUUUGACAUGGAAGCGAAUGGCCAAGAGUGGCAGAGAGUGACCACAGUAUCCUCAAACACCAGAAACCAUUGCUUGCAUACUGCAGAGUACUGACCAUUCAUGUGUUAGAGUGUUUGAAUGUCACGUUGAUGGGUGUAAUGUUUUCCUCCCUCUUGUAACUGUAAGAUUACUCUGGAUACUGCCUGUUGUGAUGGAGCUGUGUAUGGGAUGAUGCACAGCACAUCUGUGUCUUUCUGCUCUCAUGGACCAGUCAGCACCGUUCAGGAUGGGGCCCUGUGGUGGCAUCAGUUACCGAGGAAACUGCCUCUAUAGAAGUGCAACACGUUUCUAUUAGCAACAGCAGCUCCGGCAUGUGUGUUAGAGCAUUUAAACACCUCAUUAUUGAAAUGCAUUUGUUUGUGGGCUUUUACACGUCUGGAGGCUGUACAGUGUGAGGUGGGAAAGUGGGCAGGUAAUGGAGCAGGAGGGGAGAGCACGAUUCUCACAUGCACCUGGGAAGGAACUGGGGAGCUGCACACACCAGCAGAGCAGGGAGCUCUUCCAGCCAGAGCUGUGCCUCACAGCCACCCCAAAAACGCAGAGCCACCAAAACCAGACCAGAAUCCUCCUCCCAGGUCAAGAUGGAUGCUCCACAUAGUGAAGGUGUGAGGGAUAACACAGGACUCUUAUGGGGCAGUUCUCCUUCAGAACAAACAGGAUGCUGCCAGCGUGAUCCUGCAGCUGUUUCUCAUAGGUACACAGAGAUGGAAACAAUCUCUGCCCGAUGACAAAAGCAGUGCAUGAAGAGCAUUUCCUACACCUCCCACCAGCCGAGGCACUGAGCUCCAAUGGCACAGGUGAAUUCAGUGGGACCAGUCUUAGGAAGGCAAGUCAUUGCUUAUUUCUCUUGGGCACCGCAUGGCACCCCAAAUGGGGAAACACUGACCCCAUAAGGAAGGAUUGGGUGCAUGAGGUGCAGUACUGUGAGGUGAGUGCGUGGCAGUGAGGAGCAGCUCUGUGCUUUCAUCCACUGUGAACAAAGAUGAAAGGCAUGGCUCUCACCUGAGAAAAGCAGUUUGGGAAGUUUUUUCUCUAUUUGUUCCAUGUCCCAAGGAGGCUUUUAAAUUUCCUUUGGAAAAUAGGCUGCAAUCACACAGGGAAAUGGUGUGUGAAAGGCUGGGGCAGUAAUCGUCCAUGAAAUGAACAUCCAAAGUGAGAUCCAGAAUAUAGGAACAUGUUUAAUGUGAACCUUGUGUUCCACUGCUGGAAAGGUCGCAUCUACAGGCAGGUGUGCUCUCAUUAAAAGAAACAAGCCUAGAUAGCACACAGGGUGCAGGUGGUGAAACUAAAUUGAGGUUCGUCUCAGGUUCUGACUUCUCCUUGCACGCAGACGUCACUCCCACUAAGCAGAACUAUCAUUUUCUGCAGAAGAGGAACUGACUCCAAAAGCAGCGCUGAGUGCUGACAGCUCAUUAGUUGCUGUUGUUUGGUAGCUCACAGCAAGUCAUAAAAGCAGAGCCAAACGGAGGGCAGCUCGGGUAGGGAGAUUAACAUUGAUAUCUGAAGCUGUCAUUCCCCCACGUUGUAUUUAUGUUGGGCACUUCUGGUCAUUUCUGGUACAUCUUUCCCAGCUGGCAUGGCUUGCUCGCUAUCAGACUCACCCAGCAUGCCAAACUGUAUUUGUUUCUUCACAGAAUCAUGGAAUUGAGUUGGAAGGGACCCUUAAAAGCCAUCUCAUCCAACACCCCUGCAAUGAGCAGAUAUGCCCACAACUCAGGCUUGUGGUUUCGCAUUUUAUUUUGUAUUUCUUGUGGUUUUAUACAUCAUUUUGUCUCCCUGAGAGGAGAGGCUAAACCCAUUUGUGUAUUGCCACAGGUGCAACAUGUGGCUUUCAAACAGCAGAUGAGUUCCCUCUGUGUAUUAUUGGGUAAGCCAUAAUGAAAUAAGGGGCAAGGAAUGAGCCCUUCUGCAUGUGGAUGACAGAAACACCUACAGGGCAAAGCCAGGUGGAGUGCGAUUGUGCUGCUGUACCCACCUCUAAUCACCUUCAUUCUCUGCAGUGAGAAGGUGCUGGUGCUGCUGAGACCCACCUGCCUGCAAAUCUGCUUCUCCUGAGCCAUCUAAUGUUGAUGAAUUACUGUAAAUGUGCUUAUAAUUACUUGCCUAAUUACAAGUGCCUUCACAGAUGAUUUUGCUAGCACUUAAUGGAAAUAAAGUAAAGCAUCUGAAGCUAUAGUAAUGGAAAUAUAGAGCAAUGUGAUAGCAUAAUAUUAACAAAACCAAAGCUGGGCACAAAGCUCUGGUGGGCCCUCCUAUAGAAUCAUAGAAUACCCCAUAUUGGAAGGGAUCCAUAAGGAUCACUGAGUCCAGCUCCUGGUUCCACACAGAAGCAUGGCACCACCAGAAAAAUGCACAAGUAAGUGGGUUUUUUUUUCCAUCAGAUAUCUAUUUUUUUCUAACUGUUUUUUGUUCUUAUGCUGACAGGUGCUCUGAAUAAGGCCUCUGUUUGUCUUUUUUUCCUUCUGCUAUGAAGUGGGAAUUGUGGAGCAGUCAUUUCUGAAUGAAGACAGUUCUGUCCAACGUUUUGGCUUGCCUGGAGCGUAUUGAGCAAAGAGGAAUUGUCCUUGGCCACCUGUAAAAUGUGUUAGUUUUAAGCUUUGUAAUCACCUGAGCCUGUGAAAACCUCAUAUCUCAACAUACAUGACCUGAUUCUCAACCUCAUGGUCUACAUCCAUGCUAAGGAACACCAGCCCCACUGGGCACUCAGCUCAGCCUUGCAGACUCCUGUUGCCUUCUCUCCACUCUGGAUAUUGAUUUUCCUGCCAGGGCAACCUGAGAUGUGUCAGAAAGCCAAGACUGGAUGUGUGGAUUUGUACCUCCUGACACUGCCCUGGAGGGGACAGCAGGAAGAGCCAGAGCAGUGCUGUCACCUGCUCUGUGUUUGAGGUGACAGCAGCAAAUCUCCUAUGGGGAACUGCUUUCUAUUGCUCCUUGGCUUUGCAGAGAUGAAUGAGGACCUCAUUCCAAAUCAGCCUGCUGGCAUCUUCCGAGCCCUUUGUUUCUUGAGCCUGUCCCAGCAGGGACUAUGCAGCCUGGGCUAUUUGCUGGCUGCUCUUUGAUCCAUGGGAGACCUCACAGCAUGAAAGAAAGGCAGGAGCAUCUUUCUUACGCGUGAUGCUCACAGUGUUGUCCACAAGUGAGCACAAACCUAUGGAGGGAUGCAAUAGUUCUGCUGGCACAGAUGAAUAUUCUGUCCUCAGGACAUGCAGAAACUCUUGCUUGUAGCACUGCACCAGCCUAACUACACCACUACUUCUCUCAUUCCCAUCUAUGUAAUUAUUUCAUUGUUUCGCUAUUAAUGUUGUUCAUUUUUACUGUAGCAUUCUACCUACUUCUGCUACUGUUAAACAAAUCCUUCUGAUACUGGACCACAGAAGAAGCCCCUGGGACACAAUACAAAGCUCCCUCUGCUUGGUGUAUUCCUGCCUCCCCAGAGGCUGACUGGGACAUCUUCAUCCAAAGGAAAAUGUAUUUACAUGGAAGAUGGACGUCAAGUGAUGUUUUCCAGCCAUUUCAGGCACUGUACUGCUGGUACACGGUUUCAGAAGUUGCCCUUAAGGGCUUUUGGACCCUGUCCUCCUUCUCCUCCUGCCACUGCCAGGUAAGUCUCCUGUGAAUAUUAAUUGACAUCAACAUGAAGUGUGAUUUUGUUACCCAGCUGUAGCCUCGUGCAGGUCAGUGUAUGUUCAUGGUGUGCAAACAGCAGUCGUCAAUGGAUGGAUUUAUGGUGAGAUUUAUGGUACUUCUGUAUAAAGCUGUCCAAUAGAGUAUCCAUGAUAAAAACACUGUGGUUAAUGAUAAAUUUUAUCUUCCUCCUUCAAAAAAAGCAUGAGAAGUGCUAAGAUUAAGCUGAGGCUGGAGGCUAAUAGAAGAAAGGCAAAGGCACAUUGAGGAGUUCCAUCCCUGCAGCCCUCCUGUUUGCAUGGAGCCCUUUUAAUAACUGAAUAAAGCACUGUUCUUCCAAUUCACUUUCUAAAAUAAACCAUCCAGAUGGCUGUAAGACAAAACCUAGUCGUCAAGCUGAGUAAUGUGUAUUUUGAGCACAUUAACAAUGGAACAUGUAGAAUUGUGCUGAAUUAUGCAGAACGUCACUCAAAAAGAUACACAUGCAGAAGCAGGAAUAUCACAAGCAUCAGACAGUCGUGGUUCAUGAUGUCAUUCUGGGUCUAACCAGAAGGAAAGUGUGUUUUACAAUAAGGGUGGUGAGGCAUUGCCACAGUCUAACCACAGAAGUGGUACUUGCUCCAUCCCUGGAGACACUCAAGGUGUCUGCCUACAUAACCUGAGCACCUGGUGGAGCUGUGGGUGCCCCUGUUCAUUGCAGGUGAGUUGGACCUAAUGACCUUUAAGAGUCCCUUCCAAUUCAAAUGAUUGUAUGAUACAGUGCUGAGUGAAGAUUAAUGUAAUCUUUUUCUUUUCUGAGGGGAGGUGAAGAGGACAGACAGAUGUUCUUAUAGUCAGUGUGAAUACAAUUAUUUGGCUGAGCCAACACUGGGUUUCUUCUCUGCUGCUUCCCCCCUUGAUGUCCAAUUCAAACUUGGAAAAAAACCUGAAAAUCAGAAAGACUCAUAGAGAGAGGAAGGCAAAACCCAGACAUUCUGCUGGGGCUGCAUGUGUGAAGAACGUCAUCAAGAGAUUUUCCUGCCCACUCUGCCCAAACUCAUAAAACUCGCAGCAAAAGAGCUGGGGAGUGCAGAAAUGAGUGCCUGAUGGCUCCAUGUUACGCUCAGUAGGAUGUUUGAUGUGUAUUUAAAACAGCUUUGACUGCCUGAAUGGCAACAAAUGGUCACAAGGUCUGUAACCUGAGGGUGGUUGGACGGGUCUUGCUGGCUCCCCCCAGUGCUUUCUGUUUCCUGACUUCACUCCUAGAGCUUCCCAACUCCCACAGGAAUCCAAGCUCUCAGUGCCCAGCGUUGUGGGGGCACAGCCUGCAAACUGCAGAACUCCUGCUGAGAAAAACAUCACCUGGAACUGUUUGUCCACUGCACGGCAAUUUUCAUAAGCAGACUUUGUGCCGAAGUACAGCGAAGAGCUGCAGACAUGAACCUCCUAAUGCAAGAUGUUGGAGAAACGUUAUGGAAAAUGCAGCUUUGGUGCCAUGCCUAGAUAACAGCAAGGGUGUUAACAGGCACACAAUGCAUGGGGUGACAUUCAUCCUCUGGAAGAUCUCAGCCUUCAGCCUUUUGCUUCCUCAGUAUGUGUGGACCAAUUGCCCAGAGUGAGGACAAAUGGCUGCAGCAGGGAAAUUCAUCUCAGCACCAGAUCCCUCGUCCCUCCUGCUGGUUUCCUUUUGAAGUCCUAGAAAAUGUGAUGCUCUUUCAUAGCAAAUUCCUGUAUGUGGAGCAGGGCUGUGCUGCUUUGCUCACCCCACCAGUCACAGGGCAACUGUGCCCUCCAUCGCUCUACAAAGCUCCUCCCACCGUUCUGCUAUUUGUGCUGACCAGAGCAUGCACAGAUGCAAUACUCAGCACCAGAACACUUCCUUCUUCAACACAGGACCUUAGGACAAAUCCUAUAGUGUGCUGCAUCUAAAUAGGCAAAAUUUUUGCCUUUUGACUCUGCCGAACUUCAGAAGUUUUAUGGCAAAAUUGCUUCUUUGGAUGAUUUCAUUAUUAACGCUGCAGAAAAGCACCAAAAUAUUUGGGAUACCCCAAAAGAUCA